GCGGGGAUAGCUCAGUUGGGAGAGCGUCAGACUGAAGAUCUGAAGGUCGCGUGUUAUUUCCACGCUCACCGCA
rnacentral:tRNA from 1 species